rnacentral:rRNA from 1 species
GAUGAACGCUGGCGGCGUGCCUAAUACAUGCAAGUCGAGCGAACAGACGAUGAGCUUGCUCCUCUGACGUUAGCGGCGGACGGGUGAGUAACACGUGGAUAACCUACCUAUAUGACUGGGAUAAUUUCGGGAAACAGGAGCUAAUACCGGAUAAUAUAUUGAACCGCAUGGUUCAAUAGUGAAAGACGGCUUUGCUGUCACUUAUAGAUGGAUCCGCGCCGCAUUAGCUAGUUGGUAAGGUAACGGCUUACCAAGGCAACGAUGCGUAGCCGACCUGAGAGGGUGAUCGGCCACACUGGAACUGAGACACGGUCCAGACUCCUACGGGAGGCAGCAGUAGGGAAUCUUCCGCAAUGGGCGAAAGCCUGACGGAGCAACGCCGCGUGAGUGAUGAAGGUCUUCGGAUCGUAAAACUCUGUUAUUAGGGAAGAACAAAUGUGUAAGUAACUAUGCACGUCUUGACGGUACCUAAUCAGAAAGCCACGGCUAACUACGUG